rnacentral:rRNA from 1 species
AGCGUAUACGGUGGAUGCCUUGGCAGUUAGAGGCGAUGAAGGACGUGUAAGUCUGCGAAAAGCUGUGGUGAGCCGACAAAAUGCAUUUGAGCCACAGAUGUCCGAAUGGGGAAACCCACCUAUUUAUAGGUAUCGCUACAUGAAUAUAUAGUGUAGCGAGGCGAACGAGGGGAACUGAAACAUCUAAGUACCCUUAGGAAAAGAAAUCAACCGAGAUUCCCCUAGUAGCGGCGAGCGAACGGGGAUUAGCCCUUAAGCAAUUAUGAACGUAGUGGAAGCCUCUGGGAAGUGGCGCGAUACAAGGUGAUAGCCCUGUACACGAAGUGUUUGUUUUUGUGAAAUCGAGUAGGUCGGGACACGUGUUAUCUUGACUGAAUAUGGGGGGACCAUCCUCCAAGGCUAAAUACUCGUAAUCGACCGAUAGUGAACAAGUACCGUGAGGGAAAGGCGAAAAGAACCCCGGGAGGGGAGUGAAAUAGAUCCUGAAACCGCAUGCAUACAAAAAGUCGGAGCCGCAAGGUGACGGCGUACCUUUUGUAUAAUGGGUCAUCGACUUGGUCUAUCUAGCAAGCUUAAGCCGUUAGGUGUAGGCGCAGCGAAAGCGAGUCUUAAUAGGGCGCAUGAGUUAGGUGGAUCAGACCCGAAACCGAGUGAUCUAGGCAUGGCCAGGUUGAAGGUGCAGUAACAUGCACUGGAGG